rnacentral:lncRNA from 1 species
CUGAGAUGAAUCUUUUAACCUUUGGUUGAUUUAUCCUAUGGUAUAUUGAAUUGAUUAAUUUCUAUGCAUGUGCAGACAUUAUUUGGGAUUUUUGCCUGGGGUUGUUCUUGAUACAUUAUAACGACUGGUAUGUGUCCUUAAUCUCAGCAGCUACAUUAAUAUCAGCUUCUAGUUUGUUAUGUAAUUAUUCCCUUUUACGGUUCAGUGUGCAAAAUGUUUCAAAUGGAGACUGAUGCCGUCAUAGGAAAAAAUACAUCCUAACUAACCAUCAUAAAAACUUUUCACUAAAUAUCAUAAAAACUGGUAUGUUUUAUGAUCGAAGGUGUACUACUACAAGUUACUGAACUUUUAACUAAAUAUUAUUUUCUUACUUUUUUCAUUUCACAUUAUACUAGAAAUCUAGUAUAAAGUUCGUUAAGAAAUUGAGAUUGACCUUUUGGUGCCCACUUUCCAGAAUAUUAAUUGUCCCAGCCUUGAGUGCAACAGCCAAGGUAAAAAAGUAUCAAACAAGAUUGUAAUCAGGACUUCUCCACUAACUAACCAUCGUUUCCAUAAGCAAGAGUCCUUGAUCCAGGGCUGAUGAUCUGUAGUGCUCUGUGAAAUCCAUCCCCAGGUUCUGCAGAAACUGAACUCACUUCUGUUAGAUGUCAAACUCUCUGGAAGGUAAAUAAUAUCAGCAAAUCUUGAAAACAGAUGUAGUAGCAUGAAAGGCAGAAAAAUAAAAGACGCAGCAGUGAAGUCGAAGCCGGUGGACAACUCUGAAGGAUUUUUAUUUAGUCCAUGUUAUUAACUAUAACAGCUUGCUUUGUGUAAACUCAAAAUCAAGACUACGUGCAUGCAUGAACCAGCUUGGAUUCCUUAAAACAAGGUAGGCUACACACGGCUUGAAUAAAUGGAAGGUUGAAAAAUAAAGAUAAGGAGAGCAGCUGCAUAAAUGUGUAUUCAAUAUAUAUCCUAAAAUUAUGGUGGGCUGUAGAAAUAUGAAGCAGGUUUAUUAAUUGUAAACAUACAUAAGUGAAUAGGUGUGCAGGUGUUAGACAGGCUUAUUAUGGUACUGCAUGCAUGCAUAGUAAGAUAUACAAGUUUGUAAAACACAGAAGUGAUGAGAAGAGCUGAAGCUCUUUGCAUGCUGUAGCGUGAAUUUGUUAUAAAGAAUAAGCCGUAGCUUUAUCUACUAAGAAAAAGUGUGAUGUUGAGUUUAUUUUCUUGUUAAAUCAUUACUAUACUAUUUAUAUAUUUAGUGUGUGAAGCUUAUCACGUUUCCAACAACACCUAGCUCAUGUAGCAGAUUGUAUUUUUCCUUGAUUUUCAGGACCCAGGAAUCACCUUGAAUAAUUGUGAGAUUCUACUUAGUUUCUCAUCAAACUAACAAAUAAAAUAUCCCAUUAAUUUAAGGAUAUUAGACAACAGGUAUCUCAAAAUAUUCUAUAAUUUGUGAGAAUUGAUGCCUAAUGGUCCAGAGAAUAACUUAUGCAUGUGAAAGACAAGAUAGGGACAUAGUUAGACUUCAUAUAGCCAUCUCUUGUUUUUCAUUUAUUCCAACUAACACAUUUUUUCUUUCAGUAUAGCAAUCUUCAAUGACUGUUCUUUGUUCUUUGAAGCAAUAUUUUUCUUUCACCUUAUCAAACGGGAAACCAAAAACUGAACCCUAUGAAAAGAAGAUAAAGAUAUAGAGAAAAAAUAAUGUCAAAAUAGAAGUAAGAAUGUGACCCAUUUAUAAAUUUUAAUUACCGUCCUAUUCCUAGGGCAUGAGUAGGUUUUGAUUGGACGCCAAUUUUAAUUUUCAGUGUAGCAGUCAUUUUUGAAUUUUGAAUUUUUGGUGGAUUUUUCAAUUUUUUAUGAGUUUUAUUUCCUAACAAUUUCGGAAAGAUUUGAUUCACCCUAAUAUUGGACUAAUUUAUAAUCAUUUCAAAUCUUUUACUUUGGACGGAUAUUUUAUAUUGGUAAGUUUUGAUCGGGCCACAUAUUUAAUUUUUUCAUAUAAUUUUAAGGAAUAUGUCAACGAAAUAUAGUCAACUUAGUCAACCAAAAAAUAUAAUUAAAUUAUUUGAUUUCUUAUAUUUUAUUAAUAUCUAAUUUAAUGAAUUUCACUAUGCAAAAGCAGACCCUGUGUUGGGCCAUCUGGAGGGCUCGCAAGGAUCUAGUUUGGAAUCAGAAAUUCUCAUCUGUUAACAAGAUAGUGGCAGCAGCGAAACACAGGCUUACACAAUUUACAAUCGCCCUGAGCAGGUCUUCUAGCAUUCUUCUUGAACCACAUGCUAAUAGAGAUGGAGUUACUAGCUUCCUGGGUAAAUCCCCAACCAAACACAGUUAAGGUGUCCGUUGAUGCAACUAUUUUUGAAGAUAGGUCUGAAGUUGGUUUCGGAAUGGUCGCUAGAGAUUCAGAUGGAAGAUUGAUAGAAACAAAAGUCUUAACGAAGUCGGAGUGCAUUAGCCCAGUUCUUGCGGAGGCCAUAGCUGUGAAGGAAGCCUUAAGCUGGAUUGAUUAGAAGAAAUGGUUAGGAGUUACCCUCGAGUCUGAUUGCUUGGUUGUGGUUCAAGCCAUCAGGUCAGCAACUCCAAUGCGGUCUCAUUUUGGAGUGAUUAAUUAGGAAUGUCGAAGUUUUAUGCAGUGUCAUGUUCAAUUGUUAUUUGUCAAGUGUUCUACAAAAUAUGGUUGCUCAUCAGCUUGCUUAGGGAAUUUCUUUAUACCUAGUCGUAUUUUUGAUAGGUCGUCUGUUACUAUCAAUAUUCAAGCUUGUAUUGAGAUGGAGUUGAGUUAAUAAAAUCUCUAGCUUUUCGUCAAAAAAAAAAAAACUAAGAAGUCGUUUGUUUUGGUGAGGAAAAUUUUGAUGGAGUGAUAAAUCUAAAUAUUCAACCGAUGAUUUUGUUUGUUAAAAAUAAUUUUUUUUAAUGACACAAUUUAUUGUUUUUCAAGAUUAAUUAUUAUAAAUUCAAAAUUUUGGAAAAAAAUAUCAUUACUUAUUCUAAUAACACACAUUAUUUGAUUAGUUUAUAUGUCUUUUGCAUAAUUUUUUGUUAUAUUAGUUCAUUUUUAAAUAAUAAUCUCAUGUUAUUUUGAUGUAAAAUUCACAAUCAUUUUAAUUUUAAUAACAUGUAAAUUAUGAAAAAUGAUAUAGAUAUUAUUAACAAAAAUUAUCUAGUUAAUCAUAAAUAUAAAUAAUUCUCAUAAUGAGGAUAUUCAUUUAUGUAAAAAAGUGUAUAAAAGUAUGAUUGUUGCUGCUUGUAAUUCUAUUACCAUUCACUUCAAUAAAAGUAGUGUGGACAAAAAAAAUGUUACCAAACACUUUUUUAUUCACUUCGCUGGGCUUGUUCACUCUUAAACAUAUGGGCCCGAAAAAUAUAAAAAUCAAACUAUCUCUCUUCCAACUUAUUCUUCAAUGGGCUCAUUUACCCUUGAACAAAUGGGCCUAAAUAAAAAGCAAACUGUAUAUAAAUCCCUCUUCCUGUUGUCUAGGGUUAUAUACUUAUGGUUUUUAUAAGAGGUUUCGGCUGCGGCGCCUCCAUUAUUGAUGAAUCUGUGGACAACGAGUUGGGAGAGUCUCAAAAUAAAGAACCAGAGGACCGCAAAGGUGAUACCUAUAUACAUUUCUAUAAAGUUUUCUCAUUGCUUUUGAUUAUUAUUUUUUUGGUGAAUCUUUUUUUCGGCUGGAAGACCUGGAUUUAGUGUUACUGUUAUGUUUAGGAUUUCUUAUGUUGAUUCCAAACAUUUAAUUAAUUUUUUAGCAAAGUUUAUAUUCCAUCUUUCUGUAUAUGUUUGUAUUUGAAAAUGUAAUUGUAAUAUGAUUGUUAAGUUGCAUUUGUGAUUUGUAAAUAUUCACCAUGAAGGAUAGUAGUUUUUUGAUUUUUAAGUAAUUUACUUUAUGAUGAGUAUUGAAUUGAUAAUUUUCUCUUUGUAGACGUUAUUUCAGAUUUUUGGGGCGGGGGUUGUUCUUCGUGUAUCAAAUAGAGGCUGAUUCUAUCAAAUAAAAAUUACAAGGAUAUAAGUGAAAACAUACCAUAGCAAUAUAUGAAAUAUUGUGUGUUGUGUUAGUGUUGUAAGUAUAAUUUAGUCUUAUUCAUCUUUUUCAAAAAAAGUUAGAUUUAUAUUUUGCUAAUUCAGAACUAAAAGCUUAAUAUGGCCUACUAACUAUAUGUUAAUAUAUAUAGUUGCUUACAUGAUAUGAUUGAUUUUUGUUGCCAUGUCUACUCUCCUUUUGUAAAAUAUAAAUUUUGUGUGCAGUUUUAUUUUGCGAGUAUAAUUAAUUGUCUUUUUGUUUAUGUACCCUUCAAAGCAUAAAUAGAUAGUCGAUUAUUUAAUAAGUUCGAUUUCAUAGACUUUCUUAUUAGUCCCAAUUAUAAUAGAUACUAUAUAUUUUACGGGCAAGUACUAUUAUUUGCUUUGGAUUGUAACUAGGUCACAUUUCAUGUACUUGCUCAGCUUUAUUUUAUUUUAUUUGUGACUUGUGAAUGAUUUUUUCUAUUUAUGUUGGCUAGGGUGGAUAACAAGUGGCAAGGAAGACGAGGAUUUCACAAAGAAAGAGGAAAUGAAAAUGUUGCUAAUGGUAAAAUCUUGAAUCUACGUAGAAUCUUGGAAACAUAUCUCCAAUGAUGAGCUUACAAUUUUAUUGUGACAAACAUUGAAUUUUCUCUCUAUAAUUCCCAUAUUGAAUAUAUCUAAUAUCUUCAAAAUGAUUUAUGAUAGAUUUUUUUAAUAUAACUCCCCUAUCAUAUUCUUUCAUGUUCAGCUAACACCUAUCAAUGAAGUACUUCAAGCAAAUAAUGAAGAAAAUGCUCCAAAAAAGAUUGAGAAUCAGAUGUCCGCGAUAUAUAUUUUAAGGUAAUAUUAUUUUACUUUUAUAUAAUGAAAUUAUUUCAUGUUAAUUGAUUAUUGAAUUUAUGUUAAGGGUUGAUAUGGUUAUGUCCUUAAAAAUUUGUUGGCUUGUACCUAUUGCAAGGUACAGAACUUGCAAAUCAUGUAAUAAAUUUUUUGAUUAUAUCUUUUUUUCCUCGCUUACAUUUGAUGGGAUCAGGGAGUAUAUAUUAAAAAGAAAGAAGAAAAUUUAAUGUAUGAGUAAGGCGAAAACCUUGAAGCUAGACAUCAUCAUAUUCUGGUGUUAUUUGAUUGUUUGUGGUGUCAAAUCCAAGUAUCAAAACUAAAUAAUAUAAUAAAUAGUCAAUAAACUCCAUUAGGCCUUCUAGGUGGCGUAAAUAUAAGUUCUGGCUGUUGACAACUCAUGAACAUGAAGUAUUACUAUUGAUAGUUGGGUAGGAAUUAAUGUAUGUUAAAAGGAAUUAGCAGUGUUGUGAAAAGCGCGCCUAGGCGAGCGCCUAGGCGCAAAGCGAAGCAAAGCGCACCCUUAGCGCCUCAUAUAUAUCGAGGCGAAGCAACUUCAAUGAAGCGCACGCUUUUAGCCUUGAAGCAUAAAGCACGCUUAAGCACGAAGCGGUAGAAAAGCGCGCUUCAGCGAAGCUAAGCGCAUAGUAAGAUAUUUAAUGUUAUUGGGCCACUUUUAAGGCCCAAAAGUACUAACCCAUAACAAAAAAAAGAAAUUUGGGUCACUUUCAAGGCCCAAAAGUACUGACCCAUAACAAAAAAAAGAAUUUUAGGCCCAAAUAAAAAGGCUAUGUCAGGCUCUUAGCUUUCAACAACUUUAAAAGGGGAAAAGCCUAGCCGUUCAAAAUAACCCCAAUCCUUCAAGUUCAAAACAGAGCAGAGGUAAGAGGCCUCGACGUUUAAUAGAUGAGGACGAAGAAGAACAAGAGUUUGAAUUUGAAAAGAUCACUUUAAUACAUGAAGAAGAGUCAGGUCAGGAUUUUGAAGAUGAAGACUUCGAUGAAGAUGACUUUGGUGAAGAUGAUUGAUAAAAUAUCUACAUGUUGAGAGCUGGAAGCCUGAAAUUCUGCCUAUGAAACAUAAAUUUUGAAUUUUAAUAUUUAAUUUUAGGAUUGUUUUUCCCUCUAAAAGUAUUAUUUAAUAUAUUAUAAAGGAUAAAUUAAGUUAUUUUUGGCUUAAGUGUGAUUUAAUAUAUUAUGAAGUAUAAAUUAUGUUAUAAACCUAUAUACAUAUAUCCUAAAUAAUAAAUUAAAAAAAUUUGUAAAACAUGCGCCUAGCUUUAAAGAAGCGCGCGCCUCGCUUUUGCGCUUUGCGCCUAGGCUCCAGAGAGUUUUGCGCCUCGGUGCGCUUAAUGCUUUCGAUAACACUGGGAAUUAGUAAUACCAACGAAAAUUUAAAUUUGAACAUUCGAGCAAUAAUGCAAAUUAAAACCUCCUGUAGUUUACAUUAAUUUGGAUUGCACUUAAGUUGAGUUAUAAUGCAUGCGCGACCUAUAGUUUCUCUUUCUUUGUUUGUCUAUAAUCAACACAUGGAUAGUUGGGUAGUUUCUUGUAGUUUACUAUAGAUACUUGGGUAAAAGUGCAUGUCUUCUUUCUUUGUUUUCUCCUGUAGUUUUUGCAACAUGUUCAUUCACUAUAUGCUGCAAUUGACCGCCCUUCUCUGUGCAGGCCAGGGUCUUUGGUAGUCUACAAUCCUCCUCCUCCGCCACCGCCUCCACCAUUCAGAUCUGGUCGUUUCAAACUACCGGAAGGUUGGGAGGUUGAGGAGGUGCCUCGCGCUGACGCUUCUCGUAUUGACAAGGUCCUCUUUCCAUUUCCCUACUCAUUUAACUUCUCUAAUCAUGUUUUCAAUAUUCCGGCUCAAUCGAAGUUCAGUCUGAGUUAGGCUCUUAUUGGUUCGGCCACUUGUGUUUAUGUGCACCUGCGUUACAAUUUAGCUUACUAUCUCUUAUGAUUGGUUUGAUUUGGAUUGUGAGUGGGGUUAUAUCUGUGUGUGUAUGUUUUAACUAGAAAACUUCAUGCGAAAAAUGAUAAGAAGGCCUUUGAGAUUCAAAAGUUUAUUCCUAAUAAAAUUAGGUACAUGGUCCUGGAGCUGACUUAGACACCUUGUGUGUUGGGCCUUAUAAUGUGAGACUAGAGGUACGUGAAAUAUAAAUUUCUUUAAGUAGUGUAUAAAUAUGGCAAGUACCAGAACAUCGUGUUAAAUUAAUUUGGUUGUUUGCGUUCUUUUCUCUACAGGAAUGUUUUUCCUCCUUGCAUAAAAUUUUGGCUAAAAUGGAUGAAGUUACCAAUCUGCAAACUAUUAUGGAUUCUUAUGUCCCAGUAAUGAAAUUCAAGUUCCAAGGAAUAUUGAUUGAUCUCGUUUAUGCUCCUAUAUAUCUUCGGGGUGUUCCAAAUGUAAGUGUCAGGACAACCUUUUAAUCUAAACUUAUUUUCGUAGUUUAUUGGUAUAUCUAGUGACAAAAAAUAAUAUAAUCUAUCAUUUAAAUCGUUAACUCUUAUUCUAAUGAAGACUAUGUGAUUUGCCCUUCAUUUGGUGUCUCAAGAGUAGCACUGAACAAUGAGCCUUGUAAUAAGUCAAGUCGAUCUAUCUUUAGUACUCAUGCAAAAGGCCUUCUUAAUUACACUUUAGUGCUAGAAAAGAGUUUGCAUCUUUGUAAGCAAGUGAUCCCAAUUAAUGUCAUAUAUAUAUACUGUUGAUUCAGCUAACAUGUUUGUAUAGAUGACGAAUAGAUAAUCAAAUUGUUAUGCCACAUAUGAUUAGCUUACUCACUCCAUCUUCUAAAGGAUGUUGUCAGUGAAAUUGCGCAAUUAUCACAAAAAUUCUUGUAAUUAAACAAUAGAAAUAGAUAAGAGUUGAAAUAUACUCUUAAUUUACUAUGUUGCACCAUAUUUGUGUAUGCCAUUGUAUGCCUUUUCUCACAAUCAAUGAAAUCUUAUUAGGAAUAUGCUUAAUUUUAACUAGAAUAUAUAUGGUGGCCAUUGAUGUCCAGGAAACUUUUACCCUCCCUUACCAGCUAAAAAGUAUAGCUAGAUAUAGAAGUGCCUUUCAGCCAAAAAUUAUAGGUGGAAGUGGAAGCACCUUCAGGCUAUAAUUUUGUGCCAACCAGGAAAUGAUGGCUGGUUAAAUGGUCCUGGACAUUGAUGGACAGGGACCGAGAACCUUAAAAUAUUAGUCCAAGCCGCUACUGCUUCUCCAAAUAGAACCCUUGGUUUGUUUAGUAGCCCUUUAAUUGAAAUCAAGUGAUAAACAUGAUGUAAAUUAGAGUUGCCUGAAAAACUCAAGUGUUAGAUUGUACAUAGCCUCAAAUAAGAUAUAUUGAAAGCUGUCGACCUAACUAAAUCUGUAUAUAUAUUGACUGUCGCUGGCUUGUUGCCAGAUGCUGAAACUUGCAGAUGAGAAGGCCCAAAUAAGUACAAAAUGGCGAUUGUUCCCGCUAGAAAGACCCCAUUUAGCUCCCCUUACAAGCUACCUGAAGGUUGGGUUGUGGAGGAGGUACCUCGUAACACCCAUGAGGGCUAUGUUGAUAAGGUAUGUUCUUUCCCCAAAAUAUUGCCACUUCAUUUUAGCCUUAUAAAGCUGGUGUUUCUUCGAACUAUAGUUCUUGUAGUUACAAUUUUCAUCUCUGUUGCCAGCAAUUUAGAGGAUUUUGCAAUUUUCUCAAGAUAACUAUUUGGAUGAGUACAACUCAGCAUGCUAAAUCCAAUUAAUUAGGUCUUGAGUAUUUUAGGGUGCACUAAGAAAAGGUGUGGUAUCAAGUAUUUAGGUGUAUGCCUUUUUUUCCUUUGAACUUCAUUACAUUCCAAAUUUUCAUCAAUAUUAGCUUUUUCAAAGUGUUUGUUAUUUGGGUUCUGGUUCCAUUGUUGAUUUGUUGCUUUUUAAGUUUCUAUUAUAGCCUUGCUAGUUCAUUAGAUUAUUCUUUCUAUCAUUUUCUGAAUUUGAUGGUGUAGUUCAUAUGCGAAUGCUGUUAGGAAAAGGAACUGCAUAUGCUUUAACCACUUUUUUGUCUUUUUUUGAUACACUCCUUAAAACUUUUUAUCGAGUAAUUGUGUUCAUUUCUGUAACUUGCAUCUUAUUUUAGAGAGUAGCUCCUACAUUUAUAUAAUGCACAUGUUUGCAUAAUAUGUGUUAGUAUGAGAGUUUUUACUUAAGUUUUCAUUCUGAAUUUUGAAACUUCUUACCACGUGAACAGUAUAAGGAAUUGAUAUUCUUUCGCAUUGCAGGCCAAGGUCUUAUUUCCCUAGUUGAGUGUGGAAAGAAACACUGUAGAGUGCGCUAAAAAAGGAAUGAUAUUGAGUAUUUGAGUGGCUUUGCCUCAUGAGGCGGAAUGAGUGGCCUUGCCUCAAUUUUUUUGACUCGAAGGCCUUUUCAAGAAAACUACGUGAAAAGCCGAACACCUCAUAUUGCUUUUCCCGAUGGGGGUACUAUGAGGACUCCCAGAUCUUCUGAUCAAGAGAGGCCCUUUUCAUGGGCACAUCCAGAAGCAACUACAGACUUGUAGCUCGGAAUGCUAGACUAUAGUUCUCUCUAUCAGACCCUGAACCUGUAGAACCAAGUUGACAGAUGUACAAUGUUGGUUACACAUAUGAACCUGCCGCCAAGACGAAAGGAGAAGAAUCUAGGCAUACGGGAAAAUGGUUCAUCAUACGGAUUUAGUUGGUUUGUUGACACGUGUAGAGAAGAUGAUGUUUAAGAAAAUAUUCUAUUUACCAUGUUUGUGUGUUCAUAAAAAAAAAAGUUGUCUAAUUUUUUUUUGUUUGUACUUGUAUUACUGGUUAGCUGUUUUUUAUUUUAAAUAUGGUUAUUGUAAAAGAUAUACAAUUAAAAUAGAAAUGCUAGUGACUAGAUAUACUUGUCUUCAUGAAUGGUACAUGAAUUUUAUAUAGUGCAUUUUAGCUGCGACAUGUUAUGAUAAUCGCCAUGAGAAGCCUCGUGCUUUUAAUUAUCACCAAGCUUUUACUUCCUCAUCAACAAGACUGUUAUCUGCUUCUUGCUUUUGAUUUCAUCUAGGAGCUCUCCCCUCAGUCAUCCUAAAACCCUUGAUUAGCAUCAGUUUCUGUUGUUAUCAUCCUCAAACUCUUAAUCAGCAUCAGUUCUUGUUAUCCCACAACGCUUGUCACCUUGUAGAUGAUCAUCAUGGUAACAACUGCUUAGGUGUCUGAGUGUGACAAUAUUAAAAAAUAGUUGUAUUAAGUCAAAAUACUUGUCCUUUGAUUAGAUGAAAAUUUUUCGUAUAUAAAAGAAGUUCUCUGAUACUUUCAGUAUUUCGGUACAAUUCACGGCUAGGGGUCAUUUGGUUCGUGGGUAUCUCUCAAUUAUGGGGAUUGCCCAUUCCAAACUCAUACCUACUGUUUGGUUAAAAAAAAGAAAAUACCAAACUCAUAUCUUAAACCCUCAACGUAUGAGUUUUUGAUACCCAAGUGGGGAGGUGGUUAUGAGAUGGAGGUAUGAGAUGCAUUCAUUUUUUAUUUUUUUUGUCUCUAUUUAAGUAUGAAAUAUUAAUAUUUUAUACAAAAUUAAAUCAAUGAUGCAAAAUAUAUAAUAUUGUAUAUACUGAUUCCAGCACUCAACCAAAACAUAUGAUAUAGAUAUGAUACUCAAACUCAUACUAGUUUAACCGAUUCUUUGUUCCAACUCCGUACCACUCCUCAAAUCAAACGACCCGAAAAGACAAUUAGAAACCGAUACUUGACCUGUAAGGAUAUUCUUUUAUUUACAUAUAAUUAAUUGCCCCAAUAUUUGAAGUAAUUGGUAUGUGUAAAACAAACUUAAAAAUAGAUAUAAUAAUUCAUCACAAUAAGAAAUUCAUGAAAUGGGCUAUGUCAAAAUUUAAAUUUAAAAAAAAACAUCUUUCCAAAUUUACUUUACAUAAAAUAAGGGACUAGGUGUUAUUUACUCUUUAUGUUAUGCUCCCUUCGUCCCGUGGUUGUUUACGUUCACUGUUUUCACGCAUUUUUGAGGUUCCUAUAAAGUAUAAUUUUAUAACUUUUUUAAAAAAAAUUCUUUUUUUGAAUAAAAGUUUAGACAUCAAACUUUUAUUCAGAGAAAAAAAAUUAAAAAAAUAUAUUGUGAAACUAUACUUUAAAUGAGUGUGAAAAAACGUGCCAAAAAUUAACGUAAAGAAAUGAGAGGAACGGGAGCAAAGUUUUUGAGAGGCUUAGUAUUAAAAACUUAGUUGACAUGUUCACUACUCACUAGCCGGAUAGGAACUGAAACACUUUUAUUUCUUAAUCAAUACUCGCUCUGUCUCAUGAUAAGAGUCGCUUUGACUUUUUACAUGUAAUUUGAGAUGAAAAAAAAAACAUACUUUUAUAUAUUAUUUUUAAAAUUUUUUUUGAAUAAAAAUAUAAAUGUUAAACUUUUAUUUGAAAAAAGAAUUUUCAAAAAAUAAUAUGAAAAGGUAUGUUUUUUGUACACCUCAAAUUACGUGUAAAAAAUCAAAGCGAUUCUUGUUAUGGGUCAGAGGGAGUAUUGAUUAAGAAAUACUUCAUAUGACCCUCUCAUUUCUUUACUUACUUUUGGGCACGUUUUUCCACACUCAUUUAAAGUAUAGUUACAUAAUUUUUUUUAAAAAAUUGUUUUCUCUGAAUAAAAAUUUGAUACUUAAACUUUUAUUCAAAAAAGGAAAAUUUUAGAAAAAGUUCUACAACUAUACUUUAUAGGAGCCUCAAAAUGCGUGCAAACAGUGAACGUAAACAACGAGGUAGUAUAUAUUACUCCCACAUAAAUAUAUUUUCGAAAUUAAAUUAUAUGUUUUUAAACACAUAAAAAAUGAAUAUUGCAUGUUCGGAUUUCUCACUUGAAAGAGAAUCAUUAUAUAUUUAUUUUAGUUUUGAGGAUGGUGGAUAUAAACAAGGUAGCCCACUUCCUAUACAUACAUGUAUUAUUUCAUUCCGCUCUAAAUCAACCAAAAAAUUAGGAUGAAGAGUCACGCUGUAUCCGAUAAUAAUACUCUUUGGUUUCAGGUUGAAAUUAACCAAGCCAAAGACCUUUAUUUCUCUGUCACGAAAUAAAGGUCUUUCGACCCUGAAGGUGGGACUCUCAACUCCUUCACUAAAGCUUGGUUUUUCUGCUUAUAAAAACAGGAAUCAGUUAGAUCCGGGAACAUGAUACUAGACCCCCUUAAUCCACAACUCACACUAAUUAAAUUCUUGGCUUGGUCACUUCUAGCAUCCAUAUAUGUAGCAAGAUUGUAUUUUUCUUUGAUUUUCAGGACCCCGGGAAUCACCUUGAAUAAAUUGUGCGAUUCCACUUAGUUUCUCAUUAAGAUAUAUAAGAAAUAAAAUAUCCCAUUGAUUUAUGUUGGGAUUCUCAUUCUUUGUGUAUUGUUGCAUUUAUAUAUAUAUAUAUAUCAAGUAUAUCGAUAGUUUUAUUUACAACAAUUUAUAGCAUAUCAAACAACAGGUAUCUCAAAAUAUUCUAUAAUUUUUUGAAUUACUGCCUAAUGGUCGAGAGAAUAUCACUUAUGCAUGUGAAAGGCAAGAUAGGGACAUAUUUAGACUUCACAUAGCCAUCUCCUGUUUUUCAUUUAUUAUAACUAAGAGGCCGUUUGGCUGAGUUUAUGACUUAUGGCUUAACGUCAUUUAUGAACUUAUUUGAUAAGUUAGAAGUUUAAAAUGUCUGUUUGGUAAUUUUGACUUAUUAACGGCUUAUGGGUUAUUAAAAAUAUAAUAAUAAAAAUACCUAAAAAUAAAAGUGUUUUAGGAGUAACUUAUGACUUAUGGGUAAUUUUUAUACCCCUCAUUCUUGUAAAUAUGAAAUUUUUUGUGCAGUAUUAUUUUGAAAGUGAAUAAUUUAGUAGUUGUGCACCUUCAUAAAUGGAUAGUCGAUUUUGAUUUCAUAAAUCUUCUUAUUAGUCCCAAUUAUAGUAGAUGCCAUGUAUUUUAAGGACAAAUACCCUUUGAUUGUAAGUAGGUCACAUUUCAUGUACUCUUGCUCAGCUUUAUUUUUUUAUUUGUGGCUUGUGACCGAUCUUUUCUAUUUGUGUUCGUAGGGUGGCUAGCAAGCUGGACGGAAGACGAGGAUUUCGAAAAGAAAGAGGAAAUCAAAAUUUUUGUAAUGGUAAAAUCUUGAAUCUACUUAUUGUCAUUUUCUACAUACAUAAAAUCUAGGAAACUUUUCUUCAAUGAUCAGCUCACAAUUUAUUGUGGCACACAUUGAAUUUUCUCUCUAAAAUUCCCACAUCAAGUAUAUCUAAUAUCUUCAAAUAAAUUUAUGAUGGAUAUUUUUAGCAUAACUCACCUAUCAUAUUCUUUUGUGUUCAGGUAACAUCUAUAAAUGAAAUAUUUGAAACAAAUAAUGAAGAAAAUGCUCCAAAAAGGAUUAUUUUAAGGUAAUGUUAUCUUACUUUUAUAUAAUGAAAUUAUUCCAUGUUAAUUGAUAUACAUUGUUAGGUAAAGAACUUGAAAAAUCAUAUAAAGAGAAUUUUUUCAAUAUAUUUUUUUACUUGCUUACAUUUGAUGGGGUUAGUGAGUAUUAAAAAGCAAGAGGAAAAUUUUAUGUAUGAGUAAGGCGAAAAGCUUGAAGCUAGAUACCAUCAUAUUCAGGUAUUAUUUGAUGGUUGUUAGUGUCAAACCCAAGUACAACUAGCUAAUAUGAUAAGUAGUCAAUAAACUCUAGGAACCAAUCUGAAAGAUUAAAAUCUCCGCCUAGACACUCUUAUGACCCCAGUUUACCGAGAAAACACUCUCGAGAAGCAGAGCUGCCAAGGAAACAAUCCCAAGAUCCAGGGCCACGAAGACCACCUUGCAGACCAGAGUCUGACCACGACCAUCAAAAAGAACAACCCCCCACCAUCAAGAAGACCGUGACGCCCACAAAUCGGAGUCAUUAUCCACCACACCCCGAUGCGUCAAGCUGAACCACUACUAAAACUCAGCUGUACCAGUGUCAAAGACGAGAAGAGUUGCCCUGAGCAUGAGGUAGCACGCAAGAAGCUAAAAACCGUGACCUCCUCUUCUGCAGCUCUCUCAGAUGAACACGAAGAAGAUCAUCAUAAAAACCGGGCAGCAAAGGCGGCACCAAAGAAUAUCAUUAGCAGCACCAGUGGUGAUCAUGUAGAAAAAUGCUACCAGUACAAUGCUGAGGAUGAUGAGUCAAGUGAAGAUGAAGAAGAUGAUCGCCACUUCAAGACGCGGCCAUCAAGGUAUGUCGCGGUAGAGGAGGAAAGGCAUUUUAGCAGACGAUCAAAACGAAGAGAAAAGGGCAGUCAUGGCAGCCAUAGUCACAAGAGAAGAGUUUUUAUUCUGAAGUUUGAAACUCCUUGCCACGUGAAGAGUUAUUACUUGCUAGAAUUGAUAUCUUUCACUAUGCGCAGGCCAAGGCCUUCUUUCUAGUUGAGUGUGGAAACAACAAAGAAACACCGUAGAGUGCGCUAAAAAAUGAUGUGAUAUUGAGUAUUUGAGUGUUACCUUUUCUUUUACCUUUAUUACAUUGCAAAUUUCAUCUAUAUUAGAGUUAUGUUUCUAUUGUAGCCUUACUGGUUUAUUUCUUGUUGAGUCAGGAACAAUGAUUGGCACCGGUUACUUUGCUUGUGCGUGGACUCCAAGAUGGCACCAAAUUGUUUUGGAUGUCAUACCAUUAGGCAAGGGACUUUGGUCCACAUUUGAAGUUCAAAGGUACUUCUUUGAACAUCCAUGCGAGGAAUGGGAAGGAGUCGCAGAAACCAAUUAGACAAUUGUACAAUGGUGGUUACUCAUAUAUAUGGACUUCGAGCAAGACCAAGGGAAUGGUGGUUACACGUGUAUGAACUUCUAGCAAGACCAAGGGAGAAGGACCUAGGCAAGGUUUAAAACUGGUUUAUGCUUUAUACCAUUUGUUAGUAGUCAAGUGUGUUAGUACAACAGUUCUAUCAGGCCUCGCGUUGAAAAACUAAGCUAAAUUUUCAGAUUUGGGAACUUAAAGAAUCUCAUGGUUUUAUCAAGAAGAGAAAUUAGGGAGAAUGGUGCAUUCUACAAUUGUAGUUGGUUUGUUGACCAGGGUAAAGAAGCUGUUGUUACUUUGGAAAAACAUAUUACUCAAAAUGCAUGUGGAUAAGUUGAAUUCUAAUUAAAGUAUUUGUUGUUGAAUAAAAAAAUGUCUAAUUAUUUAUCUUUUUUAGCCGGUGAUAUUCAGUUUGCAAGUUUUUUUCCAAAUAUUUUUUUACAGGUAUAUUCUCUUUCGGGUGCAUGGUUACAAAGUCCAUCUAGAUUUUUACCUUUUAACUUGAAAAGGAAAACUUAGUUAGAAGAUUUCAUGUAAUAAAACUUAUAAGUUAUAAAAAAAACGUUGUUAUAUAAAUUAAAGCAUAACAAGACAACGGAAUUAGUCGUCUUUUUAUUAAUGAUUAAAAUCAUUUACCCACUUUUGUUUUUUCUAAAUUCUUCUCGAGUUCAUUUGUAUUUAUUAAAGAUCAUGAUAUUCUUGUCCAUAUGACACACAAAAAUAAAGAAACACACCAUUUGACAAGAUUAUUGCUUGACAAUAGAGGUAGCCAAAUAAAAAAAAAUAAUUGACUGAUUAUUUACUUAUUUAGAAGCUAAACAGUCAAAAAGUUAUAUGUUAAGUUAGUUGUGCUAUUUGUUUUGUGACACUGGAGCUUACAUGUGUAAAGAAAGUAAAUCAAAGUGAGAGUGUGUGGAGCAGUGUAGUAAAGUAGGAACACUCCAAGGAUGGUAGCAGAAGGGUUAUUGUGAGAGACGAUGAAAUGAAAGUAGUCGUUAGAGGCCAUUCUUUAAAACAUUUUGAAUUUGGUUGGGCGCAGAAGUUAUUAAAAAUUUCACUAUUCCUUAUUGUUGUUGUUGAGCUAUUUUUGCUUUUUUAAAUAUCAGUUAUUCUUUCAUGUUCAGCUAACAUCUAUUAGUGAAGUACUUGAAGCAAAUAAUGAAGAAAAUGCUCCAAAAAUAGACACAAUAUAUAUAUUUCAAGGUAAUAUUAUUUUACUUUUAUAUAAUGAAAUUAUUAUAUAUUAAUUGAUUAUGGAAUUUGUGUUAAGGGUUGAUACGGUUAUGUUCUUAAAAAUUUGUUGGCUUAUACACAUUGUUAGGUACAGAACUCUCGAGAAGCAGAGCUGCCAAGGAAACAAUCCCAAGAUCCAGGCCACGAAGGCCACCUUGCAGACCAGAGAGUCUGACCACGACCAUAAAAAAGAACAACCCCGCCAUGAAGCCCACCACCAUCAAAAAGACCGUGACGCCCACAAAUCGGAGUCACUAUCAUUAGCAGCACCAGUGGUCCAUAGUCACAAGUAGAGACGAGAGAGGAGGGUGGCGCGUGCCAAACGUAGGAGUGUCGUGGACCAUGUUGUACAUUACAGGAGAAUAUCAUAUGCACGGGUGCUAAGAGAUCGUAAUACUUCGGAAUAUUUUUUUUCGUUUCUUUUUCUAAUUGUCGGAUUGGAUCCUUUUCGGCAUUUAACUUCAGAAUGAACUAUUCAAAUUAUUUCAUUUUUGAUGAUGAGUAAUGUUCAUUUCUCUAACUUGCAUCUUAUUUUAUGGAAUAGCUCCUACAUUUAUAUAAUUCACAAAUUAUAUAAUGUAGUGUACAUUUACGAAAUGUAGGAGCUAUUCCCUACAUUUACACAGAUUUGAGACCAUAUAAGAAGAGUACGAGAGGCUCAAAAAAUGUGUUAAUAUGAGAGUUUGAAACUCCUUGCCAGGUGAAGAGUUAUUAUUUGCGGGAAUUGAUAUUUUUCCCUAUGCAGGCCAAGGCCUUAUUUCCUUAGUUGAGUGUGGAAACAACAAAGAAACACUGUAGAGUGCGCUAAAAAAAGGUGUGAAUAUUGAGUAUUUGAGUGUUACCUUUUCUUUUACCUUUAUUGCAUUGCAAAUUUCAUCUAUAUUAGAUUUUUAAAAAUGUUUGUUAUUAGAGUUAUGUUUAGCCUUACUGGUUUAUUUCUUGUUGAGUCGGGAACAAUGAUUGGCACCGGUUACUUUGCUUGUGCGUGGACUCCAAGAUGGCACCAAAUUGACUUAUUGUGUUAAAGGAGAGGUUGUGUCUGAUUUCAGUUACAUUUUAUAUAUGAUGCUUGGAUGGUUAAUCAUUAAAUUUUGUAACUGAGUUUAGGUUGCAGGAUAUACUUAAUGGCUACAAGCAGGGGAAUGGUGUAGACUGUAGCAGCUCGCGAGUGGCGUCCUAAGCUGUCAGGUGAUGUUGACCCUGAUAUUCGGCUGGAUGGCAGCAGGUUAUGGGCAAUUGAAAGGCCUAUCAUUGCUCAAGCCCCUUUUAGGUGGGAGCCGCUUCUAAGAAUUAUGGGUUUUGAAUGUCUGUACCAUUAGGCAAGAGACUUUGGUCCAUAUUUGAAGUUCAAAGGUACUUCUUUGAAUUAACAUCCAUACGAGGAGUGGGAAGGAGUGGCAGCAACCAAGUGGACAAUUGUACAAUGGUGGUUACUCAUAUAUAUUGACUUCUAGCAAGACAAAGGGAGAAGGACGAGCCAAGGUUUAAAACUGGUUUAUGCUUUAUACCAUCUGUUAAUAGUCAAGUGUGUUAGUACAACAGUUCUAUCAGGCCUCGUGUUGAAAAACCAAGCUAAUUUUUCAGAUUUGGGAACUAAAAGAAUCUCAUGGUUUUACCAAGAAGAAAAUUUAAGGAGAAUAGUGCAUUUUACAAUUGUAGUUGGUUUGUUGACGAGGGUACAGCUGUUGUUACUUUGGAAAUAUAUAUCACUGAAAAUGUAGGUGGAUAAGUUCAAUUCUAAUUGCAGUAUUUGUUGUUGAAUAAGAAAAAUGUCUAAUUAUUUAUCUUUUUAGGUGGUGAUAUUCACUUUGCAAGUUUUUUUUCAAAUAUUUUUUUUACUUGUAUAUUCUCUUUCAGAUAUGUAUGGUUACAAAGUCCAUCUAGAUUUUUACUUUUUGACUUGAAAAUGAAAACUUAGUUGGAAAAUUUCAUGUAAGAAAACUUAUAAGUUAUAAAAAAAUAUUGUGAUAUAAAAUAAAGCAUCUAAAAACAAUGGAAUUAGAUGUCUUUUUAUUAAUGAUAAAAAUCAUUAACCCACUUUUAUUUAUUCUAAAUUCUUCUCGUUUAAUUGAGAUCAUUUGUAUUUAUUAAAAAUCAUGAUCUUGUGGGUAUGGCACAGAAAAAUAGAGAAACACCCCAUUUGACAAGAUUAUUGUAUGAUAAUAGAGGUAGCCAAAUAAAGAUAAAAAAUAAUUGACUGAUUAUUUACCUACUUAGAAGCUAAACAGUCAAAAAGUUAUAUGUUAAGUUGAUUGUGCUAUUGUUUUUGUGACACUGGUGCUUACCAUGUGUAAAGAAAGUAAAUCAAGUGAGACAGUGUGGAGCAGUGGAGUAGAGUGAAAACACUUCAAGGAUGGUAGCAGAAGGGUUAUUGUGAGAGACGAUGAAGUAGUCGCUAGAGGCCAUUCUUUAAAACAUUUUGAAUUUUGUUGGGCAGAAGUUAUUAAAAAUAUCACUAUUCCUGGUUGUUGUUGUUAGCUAUUUUUUAUUUUUUAAAUAUCAUGCCAGUGGUUGAAUACUUCUCUUCAUGAAUAAUACAUAAAAUUCAGUGCAUUUUAUUGCCAUUCAUGUCCACAUUUAGUAUUAAACAAUCAAUCUUUUCUACUUGAAAUCUUGUUCUUUUUUAUAAGAUAGUUUUACUGAGGCGGGUAAUUGGAUUCCAAGAAAAGCAAAGAAAACGACGACUUCCAUGAUUUGAGGUGCAUGGCUUCCAUUUAUUAUAAUCAUUAUAUUGAAUUGUGAAACACGACUAAAGCGUAACUGUGAUACCACCUUCAAGGCUUACUGUGACCUACUGUAAAUCAAGUAGAAGGUCUUGGUAUUAGCUGAAAAUUUUAAAGCUCGAACUGUCAAGGGCUUGGAAACCCUUGGACAGUCAAUGCUCUCAGGGAGUGGGUGCUGGAGGGGAAGGCCAGAUAUAACUUCUUUGUCGAGACAAUGACUAAUGUAUAUAGAUUGGAACAUGUACAAAUAUUUGUAGUUUUGUUAAAGGGUUUGUUUAAGUAGUGCAAUUUUAGUGUAUUGAGAUCGCAUACUCUUUUUAACAACUAGUAAUGUUUCAAAUCCAAAUCGAUGAUUUUUGAUUUUUGAUUUUGUGUCAACUGGAGUAGCUGAUGGUUUACAAGAUGCCAUGCCAGCACGCUCAACAAUUUUCUCAGCAUAUUUACGUUGAGAGAGAAACAAACCACCCUUGUGGCGAGUGACUGCAAUGCCCAAAAAAUGAUUUAAAGGACCAAGAUCCUUCAUAGCAAAAUCAGAACUGAGACUAGCCAUAAUAGAAUGCCGGAGAGCAUGAGAAGAAGCAGUAAGUAUAAUGUCAUCAACAUAUACCAAAAUGUAUGCCAUAUCUGUCCCCUGUUUGUAGAUGAAUAAGGAGGUGUCACAUCGACUAUUAGUGAAGCCGGGAGAUAAGACAUAGUCAAUCGUAAACAAUCUCAACACGGCCGAAAAUUUCAGAAUGGUCGUGGUGGUGGCCGAAAUACCGAGGGAGGUAAUGGCAGGGGCAACAAGGCUAGCCCGCCAGGACAACAACAACAGAUGCCAUUUUUAUGCAUGUGCAGACAUUAUUUGGGAUUUUUGCCUGGGGUUGUUCUUGAUACAUUAUAACUUUUGGUUGAUUUAUCCUAUGGUAUAUUGAAUUGAUUAAUUUCUAUGCAUGUGCAGACAUUAUUUGGGAUUUUUGCCUGGGGUUGUUCUUGAUACAUUAUAACCACUGGCAUGUGUCCCUAAUCUCAGCAGCUACAUUAAUAUCAGCUUCUAGUUUGUUAUGUAAUUAUUCCCUUUUACGGUUCAGUGUGCAAAAUGUUUCAAAUGGAGACUGAUGCCGUCAUAGGAAAAAAUACAUCCUACCUAACCAUCAUAAAAACUUUUCACUAAAUAUCAUAAAAACUGGUAUGUUUUAUGAUCGAAGGUGUACUACUACAAGUUACUGAAAUAUUAACUAAAUAUUAUUUUCUUACUUUUUUCAUUUCACAUUAUACUAGAAAUCUAGUAUAAAGCUCGUUAAGAAAUUGAGAUUGACCUUUUGGUGCCCACUUUCCAGACUAUUAAUUGUCCCAGCCUUGAGCGCAACAGCCAAGGUAAAAAAGUAUCAAACAAGAUUGUAAUCAGGACUUCUCCACUAACUAACCCUCGUUUCCAUAAGCAAGAGUACUUGAACUGUCCCAUGUCGGCUGAGAAUACUCUGUCACGAAAUAAAGGUCUUUCGCCCCUGAAGGUGGGACUCUCAACUCCUUCACUAAAGCCUGGUUUUUCUGCUUAUAAAAACUGGUAUCAGUUAGACCGGGAACAUGAUACUGGACCCCCUCAAUUCAAAACUCACACUAAUUAAAUUCUUGGAUUACUGAUCCAGGGCUGAUGAUCUGUAGUGCUCUGUGAAAUCCAUCCCCAGGUUCUGCAGAAACUGAACUCACUUCUGUUAGAUGUCAAACUCUCUGGAAGGUAAAUAAUAUCAGCAAAUCUUGAAAACAGAUGUAGUAGCAUGAAAGGCAGAAAAAUAAAAGACGCAGCAGUGAAGUCGAAGCCGG